rnacentral:tRNA from 1 species
AGCGGAGUAGCUCAGGGGUAGAGCAAAGGUCUCAUAAUCCUUGUGUCGGGGGUUCGAGUCCCCCCUCCGCUACCA